rnacentral:rRNA from 1 species
UACGAGGGGUGCAAGCGUUGCUCGGAAUCAUUGGGCGUAAAGCGCGUGUAGGCGGUCCGGUAAGUCCGCUGUGAAAGUCGGGGGCUCAACCCUCGGAUGCCGGUGGAUACUGUCGGGCUUGAGUACGGAAGAGGCGAGUGGAAUUCCUGGUGUAGCGGUGAAAUGCGCAGAUAUCAGGAGGAACACCAAUUGCGAAGGCAGCUCGCUGGGACGUUACUGACGCUGAGACGCGAAAGCGUGGGGAGCAAACAGG